GGGGAUGACAGGCUUCGACGGAGGAGGCUGUCGUCAGGCUGCGAGCCGAGAGGCGCCGAACUCGCAAAAUCAGCGCAAACAUAUAACAGGCAAAUCAAAAGCCUACAACGCUCUUCCGCUUGCCGCAUAAACCCGGUAUAGCAAAGAGUAGAUCUUCCUAAAUGCAAGAUCCGUCCACUCCCAGCGACACCAGCCGCUCGGGUGUUGGGCGUCACUAAUGCUGGUGUGCCACGCACGACGCCGCUAACUGCGUGAAAGAAAUAGCGACUAGGUCGGAUGUUGACCCUGUUGGUUGGGGCACAACCGAUGAAAUCUAAAUAGACCAACUACGCUCGUAGACGUUUGUCGAUCAAUCCUUACGGACCCGAGUUCGAUUCUCGGCAUCUCCACCA
rnacentral:tmRNA from 2 species